CAGCCCUAUAGGAGACACCUCCAGAGAAAGUAACAACUCUCAGUUGAUUAGCUGAGGUAUGUAUGUCAUUUAUGGCAAUACCUGUCUCCAUCCCCUCCGUCUUCUUCUAGGAGACCAAUUUUGUAAAUUGCUACUUUUCUAACAACAGUGGCACAGGUGGCCCAGCAUUCUCCCUUUUCUCAGAGCUGGUUUUCCAUCCUGGAAAGAGGUCUUACAUAUACAAAGUUACUCUAAUCAGUUGUGAAGACACCAAAUGAGCUACACUGUUUUGGACUCCCCAACACAACCCAGCCACCGGCUGAAUGCCACCAAAUUACCUUCUAGUUAAAGCUUUAUGGAGCAAACGAAUCACCUAUUCAAUAUCUGCUUGAAUUUCUGACUCAAAAUAUAUCAGGUAUGUACUGUGUGACUUAAAUAUUGAGUUUAUUUUUAUCAAGUACCUGUCAAGAAAGAAAGUCAAUUCUGAAACAGCAAAAGCUCAAAGUUCUACAGAUGGCUUUCAAAGGAAUUUGAAUUAGACAUCAUUUGAUGUUGCAAAAAACAAUGAUAUCUUUUAUAGCUCUAAACAUCAGUUUUUAAAUCAGA
rnacentral:lncRNA from 1 species